rnacentral:rRNA from 1 species
CAGCCACACGGGCACUGAGACACGGGCCCGACUCCUACGGGAGGCAGCAGUAAGGAAUAUUGGUCAAUGGACGCAAGUCUGAACCAGCCAUGCCGCGUGAAGGAUUAAGGUCCUCUGGAUUGUAAACUUCUGUUAUCUGGGACGAAAAAAGGCGAUUCUUCGUCACUUGACGGUACCAGAUGAAUAAGCACCGGCUAACUCCGUGCCAGCAGCCGCGGUAAUACGGAGGGUGCAAGCGUUAUCCGGAUUCACUGGGUUUAAAGGGUGCGUAGGCGGGUAGGUAAGUCAGUGGUGAAAUCCUGGAGCUUAACUCCAGAACUGCCAUUGAUACUAUCUAUCUUGAAUAUUGUGGAGGUAAGCGGAAUAUGUCAUGUAGCGGUGAAAUGCUUAGAUAUGACAUAGAACAC